rnacentral:rRNA from 1 species
UAACGAAUCUUCCGCAAUGCGCGAAAGCGUGACGGGGCAAUGCCGCGUGCAGGAUGAAGCCCUUCGGGGUGUAAACUGCUGUCAGGGUGCAGGAAUGAAAUGACCAUACCCAAAGGAAGCACCGGCUAACUCUGUGCCAGCAGCCGCGGUAAUACAGAGGGUGCGAGCGUUAAUCGGAAUCACUGGGCUUAAAGGGUGCGUAGGCGGAUGCAUAGGCGCUUUGUGAAAUCCCACGGCUCAACCGUGGAAUUGCUUGGCGAACCAUGCGUCUUGAGGUUGGUAGAGGUCACUGGAACGAUAGGUGGAGCGGUGAAAUGCGUAGAUAUCUAUCGGAACGCCAAAGGUGAAGACAGGUGACUGGGCCAAUUCUGACGCUGAGGCACGAAAGCGUGGGGAGCAA